rnacentral:rRNA from 1 species
UACGUAGGCAGCGAGCGUUGUUCGGAGUUACUGGGCGUAAAGGGUGUGUAGGCGGUUUUCUAAGUUUGGUGUGAAAUCUCCCGCUCAACCGGGGGGGUGCGCCGAAAACUGGGAGACUAGAGUGCGGGAUGGGAGAGUAGAAUUCCUGGUGUAGCGGUGAAAUGCGUAGAUAUCAGGAGGAAUACCGGUGGUGUAGACGGCUCUCUGGACCGCCACUGACGCUGAGACGCGAAAGCGUGGGUAGCAAACAGG